UGAGCUGCAUAAAACAGGCCGUAUGUGUGUGUGAAGCUCUUCUGACCAUCAGAGACACCGACAGCAUCAACAUGACUACCUACACUGACAAAGGAGAGAAGCCAGAGAGAGGGAAAUUUUUGCGUUUUCACCAUGUGAAAUUCUGGGUGGGAAACGUGGGAAACGCGAGUUUAUU